CUUGUUAUCCUGCUGCUCCUCCUGGCCCUCCCUGGGCUCCGGGCGGCCGUGACCCUGCUGGAGUCCGGGGGGGACCUCCAGCCCCCUGGGGGGUCCCUGACGUUGCUGUGCCGCGCCUCCGGCUUCGAUUUCGGUGCUCACAACAUGUUCUGGGUCCGCCAGAGACCCGGGCAGGGGCUGGAGCUGGUUGCCCACAUCAGCUACAACGGUGGCACAACCAUCUACGCGCCCUCGGUGCAGGGCCGGGUGACGAUCUCCAGGGACAACGGGCAGAGCUCGGUGACGCUGACCAUGAACAGCCUCAAGGACGAGGAUUCCGGAUCCUAUUUCUGUGCCAAACGUGACAAUGGUUAUGCUGGCAAUGCUGCUGCUGCUCUUUUUGGCGACAAUUCCGGCGCCACCCCCAUGAUGUUUGGAACGGGGGAAAUCCAGGGCAGCGACACGAAGCUUUUUGUGCCGCCGGCACUCUGGUGA